rnacentral:rRNA from 1 species
GACGAACGCUGGCGGCGUGCUUAACACAUGCAAGUCGAACGGAAAGGCCCAGAUUGCUGGGUACUCGAGUGGCGAACGGGUGAGUAACACGUGGGUGAUCUGCCCUGGACUUCGGGAUAAGCCUGGGAAACUGGGUCUAAUACCGGAUAUGACCAUUGGUUGCAUGACUUUUGGUGGAAAGCCUUUGCGGUUCAGGAUGGGCCCGCGGCCUAUCAGCUUGUUGGUGAGGUAACGGCUCACCAAGGCGACGACGGGUAGCCGACCUGAGAGGGUGAUCGGCAACACUGGGACUGGGCCACGGCCCAGACUCCUACGGGAGGCAGCAGUGGGGAAUAUUGCACAAUGGGCGCAAGCCUGAUGCAGCGACGCCGCGUGGGGGAUGACGGCCUUCGGGUGGUAAACCUCUUUCGGCAGGGACGAAGCGCAAGUGACGGUACCUGUAGAAGAAGCACCGGCCAACUACGUGCCAGCAGCCGCCGUAAAAC